rnacentral:rRNA from 1 species
UACGUAGGGUGCAAGCGUUAAUCGGAAUUACUGGGCGUAAAGCGUGCGCAGGCGGCUUUGCAAGACAGAUGUGAAAUCCCCGGGCUUAACCUGGGAACUGCAUUUGUGACUGCAUGGCUGGAGUGCGGCAGAGGGGGAUGGAAUUCCGCGUGUAGCAGUGAAAUGCGUAGAUAUGCGGAGGAACACCGAUGGCGAAGGCGGGUCUCUGGGCCGAUACUGACGCUGAGACGCGAAAGCGUGGGGAGCAAACAGG